GUUAUCGUCCAGCUGUCCAGGCAACAGUAAAGAAGGAUAAUUGAAGACGCCGGGUGUCCAGCGCUUCCUUAAUCCUGAAGGCUCCUCCCGUCUAUAAAAGGAGAAGCCAGACGCACGCAUUCAUCGCCGGACAGAGAAGAGGAGAGAAGACACCGAGCCUAAUACUCAGAGCGCAUCCACCACCACUCCACCUAAUUAGUAGCCAUCUCACUCCCAUUGUAAUAUAGAAAUAAGGGAGAAGCUGUAAUCGCCCUUCGCCUGUAAGAAUGUGAACUAAGAAAAGAAUAUCGAGAAUUGUUGGCAUGGUAUGAAAUAUGGCAGCCAGAAGAUGCUGAUACUGAAGUGGAAGAAAUAUUACAAGAAGAAUAUCAGCAAGAUUAAUAUUAAUGUUUCUAGAAUGUUGAUAAGGUGUUAUCAACAAUUUCGCCGUGGGAUCAGGAUAAACAUGCCAGAGUGUUUGCUUGAUGUCUGCGACAUCAAUCAUUCGGGCAUGGAAGACUAUACACCGAAUAUAUUCUCGAAUAUAUCCAGAGAAUAUCACGUGAAGGAAGUGGACAAGGCAAAAGGAAUAAACAGUAAUAUCAACAGUGAGUUCUACUGUAGCCAGUACAAUUAUUGAAGGCAGCGUUAUCGUCCAGCUGUCCAGGCAACAGUAAAGAAGGAUAAUUGAAGACGCCGGGUGUCCAGCGCUUCCUUAAUCCUGAAGGCUCCUCCCGUCUAUAAAAGGAGAAGCCAGACGCACGCAUUUAUCGCCGGACGGAGAAGAGGAGAGAAGACACCGAGCCUAAUACUCAGAGCGCAUCCACCACCACUCCACCUAAUUAGUAGCCAUCUCACUCCCAUUGUAAUAUAGAAAUAAGGGAGAAGCUGUAAUCGCCCUUCGCCUGUAAGGUAAUCCACGGUUGUGUAAGUGCUUGGGGUUUCCCGAAAGGGAAAGCCGUAUGUAAGUUUGCUCUGUGGAAAUGGAUUAAGCUUUCCUGUGAA